rfam:Candidatus Nomurabacteria bacterium RIFCSPHIGHO2_01_FTLL_40_24b rifcsphigho2_01_scaffold_2494, whole genome shotgun sequence.
GGGGAUGCAAGGCAUAGACAGUUGGCCUGCUCUCAUUGAUGCAUACCGAGCAUGAACAUAAUCUCGUAAAAAUUUGUUUAAAUGUUAAUUGCAAAAUUGACUGCUAAGGCCAAAGCAUUAGUUUCUCCUUACUUCGGUUCGGAGAGCUUUGCUUUCGCUCCAGUAUACGCGUAAGCGAAGCUGGCGUCUCUAUCAUAGACUUCCGAUAUAUGGAUAGAGGUGUAAUAUUAUCGGGAUAAGGAAAUAUCCGCUCUAAUAUUUCACGAAAAUCCAGAGCUCGACUCCAAAAUAUUUUGUCUGUUUCUUAAUUUUGGAGUUUAAACCAAAAAACAAGCUAAGUAUGUAGACUUCUUUAGGGUAACCUUCUGCACGGGGAUUCGAUUUCCCCCAUCUCCACAA